rnacentral:rRNA from 1 species
GGGAAGAACUCGGUGAAAUUGAAUUAUCAGUGAUAAUGCUGAUUACCCGCAACAGGACGGUAAGACCCCGUGAACCUUUACUAUAACUUGACAUUGAGUUUUGUUUUGUGAUGUGUAGGAUAGAUGGGAGGCUUUGAAGUGGGAGCGCCAGCUUUCAUGGAGCCAUCGUUGAAAUACCAUCCUUCGCAAAAUGGGAUUCUAACGAUUAGCCGUUAUCCGGCAGUCGGACAUUGUCAGGCGGGUAGUUUGACUGGGGCGGUCGCCUCCUAAAGAGUAACGGAGGCGUGCAAAGGUCACCUCAAACCGAAUAGAAAUCGGUAGUAGAGUAUAAAGGCAUAAGGUGGCUUGACUGCGAGAGAGACAUCUCGAGCAGGUACGAAAGUAGGUCUUAGUGAUCCGGUGGUCCCGAGUGGAAGGGCCAUCGCUAAACGGACAAAAGGUACUCCGGGGAUAACAGGCUUAUCUCCCCCAAGAGUUCAUAUCGACGGGGAGGUUUGGCACCUCGAUGUCGGCUCAUCGCAUCCUGGGGCUGGAGCAGGUCCCAAGGGUUUGGCUGUUCGCCAAUUAAAGCGGUACGCGAGCUGGGUUCAGAACGUCGUG